AACGAACGCUGGCGGCAGGCCUAACACAUGCAAGUCGAGCGGAAACGAGUCCUAGCUUGCUAGGAGGCGUCGAGCGGCGGACGGGUGAGUAACGCGUGAGAAUCUACCCAUGAGUGGGGGACAACCCGGGGAAACUCGGGCUAAUACCGCAUACGCCCUACGGGGUAAAGCAGGGGACCUUCGGGCCUUGCGCUGAUGGAUGAGCUCGCGUCGGAUUAGCUUGUUGGUGAGGUAAAGGCUCACCAAGGCGACGAUCCGUAGCUGGUCUGAGAGGAUGAUCAGCCACACCGGGACUGAGACACGGCCCGGACUCCUACGGGAGGCAGCAGUGGGGAAUCUUGGACAAUGGGGGCAACCCUGAUCCAGCCAUGCCGCGUGUGUGAAGAAGGCCUUCGAGUUGUAAAGCACUUUCAGCAGGGAGGAAGGCUUACCCCUAAUACGGGUGAGUACUUGACGUUACCUGCAGAAGAAGCACCGGCUAAUUUCGUG
rnacentral:rRNA from 1 species